CCCCAGCGCCACAAGUGGUUAUCACGAUUAUUGGGCCUAAAGCGUUCGUAGCUGGUUUGGUAAAUCUCUUGUGAAAUUGUUCGGCUUAACCGGACAGCGUGCAGGAGAGACUGCCAAGCUCGAGACCGGGGGGGGUUAGAAGUAUUCCAUGGGGACUGGUAAAAUGGGAUAAUCCAUGGAAGACUACCGAUGGCGAAGGCAUCUAACCAGAACGGAUCUGACAGUGAGGAACGAAAGCCAGGGGAGCGAACCGG
rnacentral:rRNA from 1 species